CCUACGGGUGGCUGCAGUGAGGAAUAUUGGUCAAUGGGCGAGAGGCUGAACCAGCCAAGUCGCGUGAGGGAGUACUGCCCUAUGGGUUGUAAACCUCUUUUGUCGGGGAGCAAAAGCCGGACGUGUCCGGCUGUGAGAGUACCCGAAGAAAAAGCAUCGGCUAACUCCGUGCCAGCAGCCGCGGUAAUACGGAGGAUGCGAGCGUUAGCCGGAUUUAUGGGGGUUAAAGGGUGCGCAGGCGGAUUUUUAAGUCAGCGGUAAAAUCGUGGGGCUCAACCCCAUCCAGCCGUUGAAACUGGGGAUCUAGAGUGUGCGAGAGGUAUGCGGAAUGCGUGGUGUAGCGGUGAAAUGCAUAGAUAUCACGCAGAACCCCGAUUGCGAAGGCAGCAUACCGGUGCACAACUGACGCUCAGGCACGAAAGCGUGGGUAUCGAACAGGAUUAGAUACCCGGGUAGUC
rnacentral:rRNA from 1 species